CUUCUUAUAAAUACAGGGCCAGAAGAAUGAGAAGGAAAUCUGACAGGUAGAGUGAUAUCCCCCCACUAUGGUAGAAAAAGGAGUCCAGCACAGUCCCAGUCUCAAUAAGAUGAUCAUUUAUGAAUGAUGUCAAAUAAGUGGGUGAUGUGUCGGCCGUUAUGAAAUCUAUAGAAUCAGCUUAUUGAGACUGGAUAUAAAGAUGAGUCAACUCAUUUUAACAAAAUUAUAAAUGUCUAUCUAUAGUCAUUCCCCAAAAAUAAAGGAAGCACCAAAGGACUGCCUAAUGUAAAAUGUCUUUAUUAGAAAAUGUAAGUAGCCAAAGAAAACACACGUAAAGUGACCCAAAAGUUCC